GAGGAGAGCGAGCCAGCGAAGCGAACGGGCGGCGGGGGAGGAAGAGGUGAGAAUGGAUGAUCGCCGUCGAACUCAAUGCCGACGUCAAGUACAGAAGGUAUUCUAGCUCGUUUGGAUAGAUACAUGAACAUUGACAGCUAAAUAACAAAUAUGGGGACGCUUUAUUCAAGGAAAUAAUGAUGAAUUCAAUUUCAGUAGCAUUUUCUGUUUGAUCUGCUUGCCACCUUCAUUAUCUUUAAGUUCUCUCAUUGUGUUCCAGUUUCUCUACAUCAGAAUCUCAAAGAGGACUUUUGCUGAAAGGUGAAUGAUUUAAAUUGAAGAAAUUUAUUGGUUCACUCAAGAUUAACUCUUGAAGCUCCUAUUCUGGCCACUUUAUCCUGUUAGUGCAGCAUCUAUAUAUUUACUUUUGCGUUGUGUUAAAGAUGGUGUUUCUAACUCCUUUUUACGUGGAAAUGACAAAUAUUUUAUUUGUUCAGUA